rnacentral:rRNA from 1 species
ACGAAGGGGGCUAGCGUUGCUCGGAAUUACUGGGCGUAAAGGGAGCGUAGGCGGACAUUUAAGUCAGGGGUGAAAUCCCGGGGCUCAACCUCGGAAUUGCCUUUGAUACUGGGUGUCUUGAGUAUGAGAGAGGUGUGUGGAACUCCGAGUGUAGAGGUGAAAUUCGGUGAUCUUCGGAGGACCACCAGUGGCGAAGGCGACACACUGGAUCAGUACUGACGGUGAGGCUCGAAAGCGUGGGGCGCAAACAG